rnacentral:rRNA from 1 species
AUUGAACGCUGGCGGCAGGCCUAACACAUGCAAGUCGAGCGGGGUUUUCGGACCUAGCGGCGGACGGGUGAGUAAUGCGUAGGAAGCUGCCCGAUAGAGGGGGAUACCAGUUGGAAACGACUGUUAAUACCGCAUAAUGUCUACGGACCAAAGUGUGGGACCUUCGGGCCACAUGCUAUCGGAUGCGCCUACGUGGGAUUAGCUAGUUGGUGAGGUAAUGGCUCACCAAGGCGACGACCUCUAGCUGGUUUGAGAGGAGGAUCAGCCACACUGGAACUGAGACACAGUCCAGGUGCCUACGGGAGGCAGCAGUGGGGAAUGUUGGACAAUGGGGGCGAGGCUGAUCCAGCCAUGCCGGGUGUGGGAAGAAGGCCUUCGGGUUGUAAAGCACUUUCAGCGGGGAGGAAGGGUGGUGUGGUAAUAGCGCAGCAUUUUGACGUUACUCGCAGAAGAAGCACCGGCUAACGCUGUGCCAGCCGCCGCCGUAAAAC